AUCUUAUCAAGAGAAGCAGAGGGAUUUGGCCCGAUGACGCUUCAGCAACCUCUAACAAAUGUUAGAAAGGUGCUAAUUCCAGCAAAGGUUUUUCCUUUGAGAGAUAAGAG
rnacentral:ncRNA from 15 species